UGGGGAAUUUUGCGCAAUGGGCGAAAGCCUGACGCAGCAACGCCGCGUGAGUGAUGAAGGUCUUCGGAUCGUAAAGCUCUUUCGGCCGGGACGAAAACGGGUUGGCUAAUAUCCAAUCCCUUGACGGUACCGGAAGAAGAAGCACCGGCUAACUCUGUGCCAGCAGCCGCGGUAAUACAGAGGGUGCAAGCGUUGUUCGGAAUUAUUGGGCGUAAAGCGCGUGUAGGCGGCGAUGCAUGUCGGGUGUGAAAGCCCUCGGCUUAACCGAGGAAGUGCGCCCGAAACUGCAUUGCUCGAGUGCCGGAGAGGGUAGCGGAAUUCCCGGUGUAGAGGUGAAAUUCGUAGAUAUCGGGAGGAACACCAGUGGCGAAGGCGGCUACCUGGACGGACACUGACGCUGAGACGCGAAAGCGUGGGUAGCAAACA
rnacentral:rRNA from 1 species